AUCUUUCAUUAUUCAUCUUUUAUGUCCGUCCUGGGACAUAGAUAUUCUAGAUACCCCCUUCUAUUAUGAAUCGCCAAAGUCUUCCUACUUCUCCAUUGUUACAAUCAGAUCCGAAAAAUGAGAAAUCAAUCAAGAUGGACCUGAAUUGAAUCAUGACUAUAUAAGCUAUUCUGAUAUUAAGAGAUUUAAUAUAGAUGAAAUUCGUGGAAGCGGACCUUUGAUUUCCUUGGACCACGUAAGAAUUCGUCGUCCGAUUGAAUCUGCUUUUUCCUGGAUGCUCUAUAGGAAUCCAUCGCUAUUCCUUUCC
rnacentral:lncRNA from 1 species